rnacentral:lncRNA from 1 species
AAGCCUCAAAAUGCAAAUCACAUCCUUGUUAGUGUUGUUCGUGGGAGUAGUUGUUUUAGCCACUCCCUCUUUCGCAGAUUACUACAAACCGCCUAAGUAUGAGCCUAAGCCACCUUAUUUCAAGCCUCCUAAGGUAGAGAAGCCAUUCCCAGAACACAAGCCUCCAGUCUACAAGCCACCAAAGAUUGAGAAGCCACCAGUCUACAAGCCACCACCAGUCUACAAGCCACCAAUUGAGAAGCCACCAGUCUACAAGCCACCACCAGUCUACAAGCCACCAAUUGAGAAGCCACCAGUCUACAAGCCACCACCAGUCUACAAGCCACCAAUUGAGAAGCCACCAGUCUACAAGCCACCACCAGUCUACAAGCCACCAAUUGAGAAGCCACCAGUCUACAAGCCACCAAUUGAGAAGCCACCAGUCUACAAGCCUCCAAAGAUUGAGAAGCCACCACCCUUUCACAAGCCAUUGCCACCUUAUGGUCACUAUCCGG